CCAUACUAUCUCGUCAUUGAUUUGGUAGUCUUCCAAACGUUCUAAAGUCCGAUUAUGUGGCAUGUAUAUAGUAAUUGCUCCGGUAACGGAUAUGGCAUAUUGUAGCUGGGACCAGACAAUCGGGUCAGUUUGAUUGAAGGAGGCAUUGCAUUGGAUACAUCGUGGAGGACAAGAGAAUAGCAGUCCAUUGAAAAGUUAAGCUAAUUUGGAACUACAUCCAACAAAUGAAGAGCCUAAUGUACAAUCUGAUGAUAGCGAUGGGACACUAGCCUAGUAAACUUUGUAAGUGUUGAUCCCUAUGGUAGGUUGCAAUUAUCCUUAUGUUCUCUUUUCGUCACUGUAGCAAAAGAAAAAUAGAGUACGAAGCUUUGAAUUACCAAACGAGGUCGAACCUGAACUUAUCACUAAUAAUCGGACAUGGCUAGAUUAAUAAGCCAGUUUCAAAGAGGGAAUAAAAGCAUGGCACUUACUGCUACAACGACAAGUACAGCUCCAGUGGGGAAAAAAAAAGAGCCUAAACCCUAAAAGCCUAAAAGCUACCAAAAAAUGUUUAAAAAGAUGUAGUAACCAGAAAAAGCAGAUCUCGAAAUUACGACCCUCUUUUUUAUCUAGCCGUUGGCAGCAGGACCCAUGUUAUGGCAUCUCAUCGAAACUAGCUAAUCUUAUUAAUUACGGCAUAAAUAAAUUUCAUAGUUCAAGGAUGUGUUUUGAAAUUACCCCA